UGUGGAAUAUUGGACAAUGGGCGCAAGCCUGAUCCAGCCAUGCCGCGUGAGUGAUGAAGGCCUUAGGGUUGUAAAGCUCUUUCACCCACGACGAUAAUGACGGGAGUGGGAGAAGAAGCCCCGGCUAACUUCGUG
rnacentral:rRNA from 1 species